AGAGUUUGAUCAUGGCUCAGGAUGAACGCUAGCUACAGGCUUAACACAUGCAAGUCGAGGGGAAACGACAUCGAAAGCUUGCUUUUGAUGGUCGUCGACCGGCGCACGGGUGAGUAACGCGUAUCCAACCUGCCCAUCACUUGGGGAUAACCUUGCGAAAGUAAGACUAAUACCCUUUUAAUGAUAUCUCUAGAAGACAUCUGAAAGAGAUUAAAGAUUUAUCGGUGAUGGAUGGGGAUGCGUCUGAUUAGCUUGUUGGCGGGGUAACGGCCCACCAAGGCAACGAUCAGUAGGGGUUCUGAGAGGAAGGUCCCCCACAUUGGAACUGAGACACGGUCCAAACUCCUACGGGAGGCAGCA
rnacentral:rRNA from 1 species